rnacentral:rRNA from 1 species
AUGAACGCUGGCGGCGUGCCUAACACAUGCAAGUCGAACGGGACUAUCAAGUGAUGUUUCGGACUGAACUUUUAGUUAGUGGCGGACGGGUGAGUAACGCGUGGACAACCUGCCUCUCACUGGGGGAUAGCAGCUGGAAACGGCUGGUAAUACCGCAUGCGUUCAAUGUGCCGCAUGACACAUUGAAGAAAGAUUUAUCGGUGAGAGAUGGGUCCGCGUCUGAUUAGCCAGUUGGCGGGGUAACGGCCCACCAAAGCGACGAUCAGUAGCCGGCCUGAGAGGGCGGACGGCCACAUUGGGACUGAGACACGGCCCAGACUCCUACGGGAGGCAGCAGUGGGGGAUAUUGCACAAUGGGCGCAAGCCUGAUGCAGCGACGCCGCGUGAGUGAAGAAGUAUUUCGGUAUGUAAAGCUCUAUCAGCAGGGAAAGAAAGGCCCGCAAGGGAGAUGACGGUACCUGACUAAGAAGCCCCGGCUAACUACGUGCCAGCCGCCGC